GAGUUUGAUCCUGGUCUCAGAACGAACGCUGGCGGCAUGCCUAACACAUGCAAGUCGAACGAGACCUUCGGGUCUUAGUGGCGCACGGGUGCGUAACGCGUGGGAAUCUGCCCUUAGGUUCGGAAUAACUCAGGGAAACUUGAGCUAAUACCGGAUAAUNACCUUGGGUCCAAAGAUUUAUCGCNUGAGGAUGAGCCCGCGUAGGAUUAGCUAGUUGGUGNGGUAAAGGCUCACCAAGGCGACGAUCCUUAGCUGGUCUGAGAGGAUGAUCAGCCACACUGGGACUGAGACACGGCCCAGACUCCUACGGGAGGCAGCAGUGGGGAAUAUUGGACAAUGGGCGAAAGCCUGAUCCAGCAAUGCCGCGUGAGUGAUGAAGGCCCUAGGGUUGUAAAGCUCUUUUACCCGGGANGAUAAUGACAGUACCCGGGAGAAUAA
rnacentral:rRNA from 1 species